CAGCUAGUUGGUAAGGUAACGGCUUACCAAGGCUACGAUGGGUAGGGGUCCUGAGAGGGAGAUCCCCCACACUGGUACUGAGACACGGACCAGACUCCUACGGGAGGCAGCAGUGAGGAAUAUUGGACAAUGGGCGCAAGCCUGAUCCAGCCAUGCCGCGUGCAGGAUGACGGUCCUAUGGAUUGUAAACUGCUUUUAUACGAGAAGAAACACUACUUCGUGAAGUAGCUUGACGGUAUCGUAAGAAUAAGGAUCGGCUAACUCCGUGCCAGCAGCCGCGGUAAUACGGAGGAUCCAAGCGUUAUCCGGAAUCAUUGGGUUUAAAGGGUCCGUAGGCGGUUUAAUAAGUCAGUGGUGAAAGCCCAUCGCUCAACGGUGGAACGGCCAUUGAUACUGUUAAACUUGAAUUAUUAGGAAGUAACUAGAAUAUGUAGUGUAGCGGUGAAAUGCUUAGAGAUUACAUGGAAUACCAAUUGCGAAGGCAGGUUACUACUAAUGGAUUGACGCUGAUGGACGAAAGCGUGGGUAGCGAACAGGAUUAGAUACCCUGGUAGUCCACGCCGUAACGAUGGAUACUAGCUGUUGGAAGCAAUUUCAGUGGCUAAGCGA
rnacentral:rRNA from 1 species